UUGGGCCUAAGCAUCCGUAGCUCGUUUUGUAAGUUUUCGGUUAAAUCCAUGCGCUUAACGUAUGGGCUGCCGGGAAUACUGCAUAACUAGGAAGUGGGAGAGGUAGACGGUACUCGGUAGGAAGGGGUAAAAUCCUUUGAUCUAUUGAUGACCACCUGUGGCGAAGGCGGUCUACCAGAACACGUUCGACGGUGAGGGAUGAAAGCUGGGGGAGCAAACCGGAUUAGAUACCCGGGUAGUCCCAGCUGUAAACUAUGCAAACUCAGUGAUGCAUUGGCUUGUGGCCAAUGCAGUGCUGCAGGGAAGCCGUUAAGUUUGCCGCCUGGGAAGUACGUACGCAAGUAUGAAACUUAAAGGAAUUGGCGGGGGAGCACAAGC
rnacentral:rRNA from 2 species